GAUGAACGCUGGCGGCGUGCCUAAUACAUGCAAGUCGAGCGAACGGACGAGAAGCUUGCUUCUCUGAUGUUAGCGGCGGACGGGUGAGUAACACGUGGAUAACCUACCUAUAAGACUGGGAUAACUUCGGGAAACCGGAGCUAAUACCGGAUAAUAUUUUGAACCGCAUGGUUCAAAAGUGAAAGACGGUCUUGCUGUCACUUAUAGAUGGAUCCGCGCUGCAUUAGCUAGUUGGUAAGGUAACGGCUUACCAAGGCAACGAUGCAUAGCCGACCUGAGAGGGUGAUCGGCCACACUGGAACUGAGACACGGUCCAGACUCCUACGGGAGGCAGCAGUAGGGAAUCUUCCGCAAUGGGCGAAAGCCUGACGGAGCAACGCCGCGUGAGUGAUGAAGGUCUUCGGAUCGUAAAACUCUGUUAUUAGUGAAGAACAUAUGUGUAAGUAGCUGUGCACAUCUUGACGGUACCUAAUCAGAAAGCCACGGCUAACUACGUG
rnacentral:rRNA from 1 species